rnacentral:rRNA from 1 species
AAUUGGAUGCAACGCGAAGAACCUUACCUGGUCUUGACAUAUCUAGAAUCCUGCAGAGAUGCGGGAGUGCCUUCGGGAAUUAGAAUACAGGUGCUGCAUGGCUGUCGUCAGCUCGUGUCGUGAGAUGUUGGGUUAAGUCCCGCAACGAGCGCAACCCUUGUCCUUAGUUACCAGCGGGUUAAGCCCGGAACUCUAAGGAUACUGCCAGUGACAAACUGGAGGAAGGCGGGGACGACGUCAAGUCAUCAUGGCCCUUACGACCAGGGCUACACACGUGCUACAAUGGUAGGUACAGAGGGCAGCUACACAGCGAUGUGAUGCGAAUCUCAAAAAGCCUAUCGUAGUCCAGAUUGGAGUCUGCAACUCGACUCCAUGAAGUAGGAAUCGCUAGUAAUCGCGGAUCAGAAUGCCGCGGUGAAUACGUUCCCGGGCCUUGUACACACCGCCCGUCACACCAUGGGAGUUGAUUGCACCAGAAGUGGAUAGCUUAACCUUCGGGGAGGCGUUCACCACGGUGUGGUUGAUGACUGGGGUGAAGUCGUAACAAGGUA